rnacentral:lncRNA from 1 species
GAAUAUAAGUUCAUAACGAUUAGGUGAAACUCCCUUACAUUCUAGCGUUAAAUUCAUGCAUGAAAAUUAAGCGUGCACUCUCAACCAACAUACACAAAUCAUUUUUUAUACGAUCGGAUAAGUAAAUUGAAUUCACAACUUAUGAAUCACAACUGGAUGUAAUCAAAUCAUAUUGCAAGUACGAACAUGGUUUCGAAUCACCCCCUAACUAAGAGGGGUUUAGUUCCUCAUACUCACAAGCAAAGAUACAUAAAAUUAGACAUUAAAAUCAAAGGAAAGAAAACACCUAAAAUGCUCCAACUUGGGUAGCAAGUGCAUCCAAGAAUUCUCCUUUGCUUGCUUGUGGCAGAUUGCUUUGUGGACGGAUUUUUGGGUAGUUUUAUGAUGUAGAAUGGAUGGGGAAUGGUAUGGAAAGGUUUAGGGUAAGUGUGGAGGAGUGUUUGAGGGUUAGAGGGUGGUGGAGAACUAGGCAAAGAGGGUGGAAGAAGGUGAAGUGGCUGUUAUGUUUUCUAGGCACUAGAAUGGUGUUUUUGGGGUGUUUUGCUACCUAGAGGUUGUAUGGACGAAUUUUCUGUGAUGAAUGAUGAAUAUGAGGGAUUGUCCUUUGGCCAAGGGGUGUAAACAUGUAUUUAUAGGCCCCAAAAACCUUAGAAAAUCAGGUUAGGUUA